rnacentral:rRNA from 1 species
GAUGAACGCUAGCGGCAGGCCUAACACAUGCAAGUCGAGGGGUAACAUUGGUGCUUGCACCAGAUGACGACCGGCGCACGGGUGCGGAACGCGUAUGGAACCUGCCCCUAUCAGGGGAAUAGCCCAGAGAAAUUUGGAUUAAUGCCCCAUGGUAUCUUUUUACCGCAUGGUAACUGGAUUAAAGAUUUAUCGGAUAGGGAUGGCCAUGCGUACCAUUAGUUAGUUGGUAAGGUAACGGCUUACCAAGGCCACGAUGGUUAGGGGCCCUGAGAGGGGGAUCCCCCACACUGGUACUGAGACACGGACCAGACUCCUACGGGAGGCAGCAGUGAGGAAUAUUGGACAAUGGUCGGGAGACUGAUCCAGCCAUGCCGCGUGCAGGAUGACGGCCCUAUGGGUUGUAAACUGCUUUUAUACGGGAAGAAACGCAGGUACGUGUACCUGUCUGACGGUACCGUAAGAAUAAGGACCGGCUAACUCCG